rnacentral:rRNA from 1 species
UACGUAGGGCGCGAGCGUUGUCCGGAUUUAUUGGGCGUAAAGAGCUCGUAGGCGGCUUGUUGCGUCGACCGUGAAAACCCGGGGCUCAACUUCGGGCUUGCGGUCGAUACGGGCGAGCUAGAGUUCGGUAGGGGAGACUGGAAUUCCUGGUGUAGCGGUGAAAUGCGCAGAUAUCAGGAGGAACACCGGUGGCGAAGGCGGGUCUCUGGGCCGAUACUGACGCUGAGGAGCGAAAGCGUGGGGAGCGAACAGG